CGUGGGCCUAAAAAAUGCAAGUCGAGCGGGCUUUGCCUUCGGGUAAAGCUAGCGGCGGACGGGUGAGUAACACGUAGGCAACCUGCCUGUAAGACUGGGAUAACUACCGGAAACGGUAGCUAAGACCGGAUAAGUGAUCUUCUCGCAUGAGAGGAUCAAGAAACACGGGGCAACCUGUGGCUUACAGAUGGGCCUGCGGCGCAGUAGCUAGUUGGUGGGGUAACGGCUCACCAAGGCGACGAUGCGUAGCCGACCUGACAGGGUGAUCGGGCACACUGGCACUGAGACACGGCCCAAACUCCUACGGGAGGCAGCAAUAGGGAAUCUUCCGCAAUGGACGCAAGUCUGACGGAGCGACGGCGCGUGAGUGAUGAAGGGAUUCAGAUCGUAUAGCUCUGUUGCCAUGGAAGAACGUCACAAAGAGUAACUGCUCUGCGAAUGACGGUACCUGAGAAGAAAGCCCCAGCUAACUACGUGCCAGCAUCCGCGGUAAUACGUAGGGGGCUAGGGGUUGUCCCGGAAUUAUUGGGGUGUAAGGCGCGCGCAGGCGGGCCGCUUAAGUCUGGUGUUUAAGGCCCGGGGGCUCAACCCCCGGUUCCCACUGGAAACUGGGCGGCUUGAGUGCAUGAGAGGAAACCAGAAUUCCACGUGUACCGGUGAAAUGCGUAGAGAUGUGGAGGAGCACCAGUGGCCAAUGCGGCUUUCUGGCUUGUAACUGACGCUGAGGCGCGAAGCGUGAGGAGCAAACAGGAUUAGAUACCCUGAUACUCUACGCCGUAAACCAUGAGUGCUAGAUGUUAAGGGUUUCGAUACCCUUGGUGCCUAGGUAAACACAAUAAGCACUCAACUGGCGAGUACGCUCGCAAGAGUGAAACUCAGAGAAUAGACGGAGUACCUGCACAGCAGUGGAGUAUGUGGAUUAGUCGUAGCAACGCUAAAAGCUACACGUCUGACGUCU
rnacentral:rRNA from 1 species